rnacentral:lncRNA from 1 species
UAAAAAUCUACCUUGAUCCUCUACCCUUUUGUUACCUGAGGCCUUCAAGGCCAACUGCUAUAAUAAUUAAAACUUGAAAAAGCUACCAGUCUUCUGGUCAGAACACAGUGUUUUUUUAAGGGCACAUAAAUGAAGGAAACUUGUAUCCUAUAAACAUGCAGCUCAAAUUAGCGAUGCCUUUCCUGAAUAUCCACCCUUCAACCCUACUCUUUACUAGAUGUGUACAGAACUCUGUAUAUAGACAUGUUGAAAGUUACUGAGUUGAGGCCUGUAAAUAUUUUUUGUAAAUGGAGACAUUUUUCCUAAUUUGUUUCAAUUUCCCUCUUCUUUCCCCCUAUUUAUUCACUUGCUGUACUAUAGGGCAUGGGAGUUUUUUUUGUUUUUUGUUUUUUUUUUUAAUCUAGAAAAAUGUGAGAUAGACUUAGCUGAAUUCUCCAUAUAUUUUAAGAUUUCUGUUCUGCAUCCUUACUAUAGAACUUCAGCUGUUUUUGUAUCUUAAUAUUUUUAACAAGCCUGUUUUGCAUUUUUUUUUUGUUUGUUUGUUUCCAAUUUUACACUGUGCAAUGCUUUGGGGGUGGGGGGUGGACUUGUGCACUUUCUGAUAUUGUCAUCGUGUGACUCUGCUCCUUUAUGUUGAUCUUUUGAUGCCAUUAGAAGCUUGGAUUCAUUCUAUCCCACACUUCAGUUGAAAUUUUUCUGCCUUCUAUGGUGCAUUUUGGAGUGUUCAUAUAUCACUCCUAAACAAAUAAGGCUUGAAUCCUCCAACCCUUGCACUUAAAACUCCGAAUUUCUUUUCUCUAACCCCAGUGUGCAGCAACUGAAGGAAACAGUUGUUGAUUUGGAAGCCGUGCAUGGUCCUUUUGCCAUCAUCAUCCUCUUCUCUUUCUUUAGGAAUCUUUUACAAUCAACGCUUUAAACCCUGUGAGUAGUUGGCAGAAAUUUGUGGUCACCUUUUAUCUACUUGUGUGUGUGUUAGAUGUGUUAAUUUUUAAAGAUUUGAACUGACAAUAAAAUUUGUUUGUUUUUUCUUGAGAGGCCAAGAGCUAUGGCCUAUUGUAUGUAGUAGCAUAUUGUGCUGUACAGCUGUACAUACUAGAAACAAGCCUUAAAUUCAUGAUUUUAAGUGGAUUGGUAUAAUGAAGAACGGAGUAGUAGGCCAUUUGAAACUGUUGGGCAUUUCAUCUAAUGGACCUAGAAUAAAUUUAUAACUUCAUUUGGAAUGGAAAUGGAGGCAUUUAGCAUCACCAACCAAAAAAAAAAAUCUUAAAGUGGGUGUCUGUUUUUUGGAAUCCUUAAAAGUUUAUCCAUGUGUGCACAUGUGCACACACGUGAGAGAGAAGCAGUGUUUUGUUUGGUCUUCCAUAGCAAAGGCUACAACUAAACAGGGCUGAGUCCUAGUUGUGUGGGAUAGUAAAAUCCCUUUGGUGUAACUGCUAAUCUAGAUCUUGUACUGGGGGAAUCAAGUGGUGAUCAAAAGAAAUCACCACUUUGGAAACGAAACAAGCCAGUUAUACAUUUUUCCUGGAAAGAAAAUAAGUUUAACUGUUGUUAAUGUGUAACUAGCAAGGACUUUCAUGGCUGGAUAUUAAACACACCAUUGCAUCACAGGUAGUUCUCUUAAAUAUCACAAGAGUUGGGAAGUAUAUGUACAUAUUCUUGUGAUAUUUAAGGGAAGCUAUCUGUUUUAACAAGUUUGGGCUACUCCUUUUAUUUGAUAAAAUGCUUUUACAAAUACCUCCAGUGCCUGACCUUGCUCAAACACAUCUUCCUGCUCCCUGAUUCUCUUUCUUCCAUCUACAGUAACGUUGCAAUCUUGUGUUUGUAGCAUUAUAAAUCACAUUUGUGGCAAUGUCUGAUACCACAACUUUACAGCACAUUCUCUACCUUAACUGCAGAAUCAAGCAAAGUGGAGACUUACGGAGUGAGAAAAGACAUCAUUUGAGUUGUCAUAUGGGAGAGUGUUCCAGGCAGGAAACUAUAUUUCUGGGGGCCCUCACAUUUAUCAGAUGGGCCCAAAUUCAAGAUCUGCAGCAUAGGGGAUUUUUCACUCCUAAACUUGUGGUGCGGAUGUGAUGUGCCCCAAAGCCUCUGGGGUCCCUGCAGGCCCCAGGAAACCUUUUUAGCCAAAUGCACCCUGGGUCGUGGGGGAGGGGUGGUAGCCAGCACUUCUUUUGAUAGUAUUCUGGCACUGAAGAAGAUAAAGAAGUUUGAACUAUUGAUAUUUUGUCUUUCUGACCUUGGCUUUUCUGGGUAGAGAACUUUUCAUUAGAUACGGCACAGUCUAACUGUUGUGAGAAAAACCAUCCAUCUUAAUGGUUUUAUAAUGAUGGCUAAACUACUGAUACUUCUCAAUGACCACUUGUAUCUACCAUCAGCCAUGAGAGGUGGGAAGAGGUACACUGUAUCUCUGCAAUAAGACUUGCCAUGGUUCUACCUCCAAGCAAAGGAUCUUUUUAUAUGUAGGCACAGAGCCUCUUUUUGAUCCCGAAAUGGUGCAUCUUGAGAUGGCGGAAUGGAUUCCAAAGAUGACUUUCCAACCAAGGCAGAUUGUGAAUUUUGCCGACUUGUUGUUUUGCUGGUUUGUUAUUUGUUUGUUUUUUUUUUUUUUUUUAAAUCACCUUUUUUAUAUUUCUACUCUGUUUUUGGAAUUUGUCAUGUAAAGAUUCACUGUCUUGGUGAUGCUGCAUUGCUCCAUGCAACUUUUUCAUGGUGAAACAGUACUCUUGAGUGCUGUUUGCACCAUUCUGAUUUUUAACUUGACAAAAUUGGAAUCUCAUGCAAUAAAAAAAAAUGUACUGGAUGCAUUUAGCAGGGUUUAUACUUGUAAACUGAAAAAAAAAAAGAUCAACAGUGGGACAUUAUGGAAAUCUGUAUUUAGUUUUUUGUCGGGGGCUUUUUUUGUUUUGGGGUGUUUUUUUUUUGUUUUGUUUUGUUUUUGUAAAAUUAUUAAAUUAAACUGGCU